GCACCCCUAGCUCAAUUGGAUAGAGCAUCGGUCUACGGAACCGAAGGUUAGUGGUUCGAAUCCACUGGGGUGUAC
rnacentral:tRNA from 2 species